GCCCUUUGGUUCCCUGUUGAACCAAGUGUCUCUUGAAGCAGCAGGUAUCUUAACUGCAUGGACACCGCCCAGGCAAUACAGUGCAUUGAACAAAGUGAUAUUGGGGUGGGCUGGACCCAUGCACGUCACUGUGCUGUACAGCGGGAUGGAGGCGAGGGCUGGUGUGUGACGUGGGGGUCAGGACCAGCCGGCUAUACGGGCUAACCUGUCCGCACUGCAUUUUGCUCUUUGAUGGUCGAUAAGUGGCAGGAUGCUCAGAGCUCGUGCAGGGGGCGUGGGGGGGCACAUCCAUUUGACCUUGAAAGGAAAGAAACAAAGAAGACAGAAGUGCACUCGUGUGCGUGUGCGGGGGGAGAUGGGACGACACAUGACCAGCAGCCACGGGACAGCCCGAGGCCACCGCAGGUGGUUCAAAGACAGCCAGAGACUGUUUGGAGAGUGGGAGCACAAGCCGCGUGCAGGCAGCAGAUAGCAACCCUGGGCUGGAGGCCAGAGCCACUCGGGGAGAAACGGGCACGUGCUCUUUGCUCCUCGCCCCCGGGACGUGGAUCCCAGCCUCACCUGCUCCUUCCCGACCUGCAACCCUGUGCACACUCAGGAUGGAGACAUUGAGGUCCCUUUUCGCUGGGAUGCGAGGGCACCAGAGAGAUUCAGCCUUCCUGGGGCAAGCUGUACGACAGGCGCACGCUUGCCACCGUGCCGGCGUGACCGCAGGACUCGGAGAGGAAGAAAAUCCUAGCACGGUGCAAAGCAUCUUCCAUCUGAUGCCAGCUCCAUGCAAGUCGAAGUUGCAAUCCCGAGUCCGCCUGGGGUGUCUGGGAGAGAGAGGACGACAGCGCAUAUCCGUCAACCCGGCAGACACCUGCUGCUCUGCAGAUCGCUCGCCGCGCGCUGGUUGGAAGCUGCCCCUCGCCUUGCUGCGCCUUUCAUGUCUUUGCGGCUCGUCCAGACAGGGCUGCUCUGCUGCUUAACUGUUCAUCUGCAGAAGGGAUGGCGCGGCCGUGUCCAGCGCGGGGAGAUCUUUCCCUUCGUCACGGCACACUAAUAGGUUAACUUAUUUACCGUAAAUAUAUUCCUAUUUAUGCUGGA